rnacentral:rRNA from 1 species
GAUGAACGCUGGCGGCGUGCUUAACACAUGCAAGUCGAACGGAAAGGCUCCUGCUUGCAGGGGUACUCGAGUGGCGAACGGGUGAGUAACACGUGGGUGAGCUGCCCUGCACUUCGGGAUAAGCCUGGGAAACUGGGUCUAAUACCGGAUAGGACGAUGGUUUGGAUGCUAUUGUGGAAAGUUUUUCGGUGUGGGAUGAGCUCGCGGCCUCUCAGCUUGUUGGUGGGGUAAUGGCCUAUCAAGGCGGCGACGGGUAGCCGGCCUGAGAGGGUGUACGGCCACAUUGGGACUGAGAUACGACCCGUACUCCUACGGGAGGCAUCAGUGGGGAAUAGUGCACAAUGGGCGCAAGCCUGAUGCAGCGACGCCGCGUGGUGGAUGACGGCCUUCGGGUUGUAAACUCCUUUCGCUAGGGACGAAGCGCAAGUGACGGUACCUGGAGAAGAAGCACCGGCUAACUACGUG